rnacentral:rRNA from 1 species
GACGAACGCUGGCGGCGUGCUUAACACAUGCAAGUCGAACGGAAAGGCCCUGCUUUUGUGGGGUGCUCGAGUGGCGAACGGGUGAGUAACACGUGAGUAACCUGCCCUUGACUUUGGGAUAACUUCAGGAAACUGGGGCUAAUACCGGAUAGGAGCUCCUGCUGCAUGGUGGGGGUUGGAAAGUUUCGGCGGUUGGGGAUGGACUCGCGGCUUAUCAGCUUGUUGGUGGGGUAGUGGCUUACCAAGGCUUUGACGGGUAGCCGGCCUGAGAGGGUGACCGGCCACAUUGCGACUGCGAUACGGCCCAGACUCCUACGGGAGGCAGCAGUGGCGAAUAUUGCACAAUGGGCGGAAGCCUGAUGCAGCAACGCCGCGUGCGGGAUGACGGCCUUCGGGUUGUAAACCGCUUUCGCCUGUGACGAAGCGUGAGUGACGGUAAUGGGUAAAGAAGCACCGGCUAACUACGUG